rnacentral:rRNA from 1 species
GACGAACGCUGGCGGCGUGCUUAACACAUGCGAGUCGAACGGAAAGGCCCUGCUUUUGUGGGGUGCUCGAGUGGCGAACGGGUGAGUAACACGUGAGUAACCUGCCCUUGACUUUGGGAUAACUUCAGGAAACUGGGGCUAAUACCGGAUAGGAGCUCCUGCUGCAUGGUGGGGGUUGGAAAGUUUCGGCGGUUGGGGAUGGACUCGCGGCUUAUCAGCUUGUUGGUGGGGUAGUGGCUUACCAAGGCUUUGACGGGUAGCCGGCCUGAGAGGGUGACCGGCCACAUUGGGACUGAGGUACGGCCCAGACGCCUACGGGAGGCAGCAGUGGGGAAUAUUGCACAAUGGGCGGAAGCCUGAUGCAGCAACGCCGCGUGCGGGAUGACGGCCUUCGGGUUGUAAACCGCUUUCGCCUGUGACGAAGCGUGAGUGACGGUAAUGGGUAAAGAAGCACCGGCUAACUACGUG